GCAAGUCGCACGAGAAAGCCUUCGGGUGAGUAGAGUGGCGCACGGGAGAGUAAUGCAUAGGAACGUACCUAUAGGUGGGGAAUAACCACGGGAAACUGUGGCUAAUACCGCAUAAUCUGGCAACAGUAAAGGUGGCCUCUACUUGUAAGCUACCGCCAAUAGAUCGGCCUAUGUCCCAUUAGCUUGUUGGUGAGGUAAAGGCUCACCAAGGCGACGAUGGGUAGCUGGUCUGAGAGGAUGAUC
rnacentral:rRNA from 1 species